AUGGGGGAGGCGUCAUCUCCGGCGAUCGCCAAGGAUGUCACCGAGCUGAUCGGGAACACGCCGCUGGUGUACCUCAACAAGGUGACCGACGGGUGCGUGGGGCGCGUCGCCGCCAAGCUCGAGUCCAUGGAGCCCUGCUCCAGCGUCAAGGACAGGAUUGGAUACAGCAUGAUCACCGACGCGGAGGAGAAGGGGUUCAUCGUCCCAGGCAAGAGUGUCCUGAUUGAGCCAACCAGUGGCAACACAGGCAUUGGGCUGGCCUUCAUGGCUGCUGCCAAGGGUUACAGACUUGUACUCACAAUGCCCGCAUCCAUGAGUAUGGAGAGGAGAAUCAUCUUGAAGGCUUUUGGUGCUGAGCUGGUCCUCACCGACCCACUCUUGGGAAUGAAAGGAGCUGUCCAAAAGGCGGAAGAGCUGGCAGCAAAGACACCUAACUCAUACAUCCUUCAGCAGUUCGAGAAUGCUGCCAACCCAAAGAUUCACUAUGAGACAACUGGGCCUGAAAUCUGGAAAGGCACAGGAGGAAAGAUCGAUGGCCUUGUUUCUGGCAUCGGGACAGGUGGUACCAUUACUGGAUCUGGAAAAUACCUCAAAGAGCAAAAUCCUAACAUCAAGCUCUACGGUGUGGAGCCUACCGAGAGUGCUGUCUUAAAUGGUGGAAAGCCUGGACCACACAAGAUCCAAGGAAUUGGAGCUGGUUUUAUCCCUGGUGUCUUGGAUGUUGACAUCAUUGAUGAAACCAUACAGGUUUCAAGUGAUGAGUCCAUUGAGAUGGCAAAGUCUCUGGCAUUGAAAGAAGGAUUGCUGGUUGGAAUCUCUUCUGGUGCUGCUGCAGCAGCUGCAAUCAAGGUUGCUCAGAGGCCUGAAAAUGCAGGGAAACUCUUUGUUGUUGUAUUCCCAAGCUUCGGAGAGCGCUACCUUUCGUCGGUGCUCUUCCACUCCAUCAAGAAGGAGGCCGAGAGCAUGGUGGUCGAGUGA
rnacentral:rRNA from 1 species